rnacentral:misc_RNA from 1 species
GAUGAAGAACGCAGCGAAAUGCGAUACGUAAUGUGAAUUGCAGAAUUCAGUGAAUCAUCGAGUCUUUGAACGCACCUUGCGCCCUUUGGCCAUUCCGAAGGGCAUGCCUGUUUGAGUAUCAUGAACACCUCAACUCUCAUGGCUUGCCAUGAUGAGCUUGGACUUUGGGGGUCUUGCUGGCCUGUGGUCGGCUCCUCUCAAAUGAAUCAGCUUGCCAGUGUUUGGUGGCAUCACAAGUGUGAUAACUAUCUGCGCUCGUGGUUUCCAUCAGAUAACCUCCAGUGAUGGAGGUUCGCUGGAGCUCAUAAAUGUCUCUCCUAAGCGAGGACAGCUCUUUUAAUGUUUGAUCUCAAAUCAGGUAGGACUACCCGCUGAACUUAAGCAUAUCAAUAAGCGGAGGA